rnacentral:rRNA from 1 species
UAAGAUGGUUAUCUUGUACUGAAUACAUAGGUGCAAGAGGCGAACCAGGGGAACUGAAACAUCUAAGUACCCUGAGGAAAAGAAAUCAACCGAGAUUCCCUUAGUAGUGGCGAGCGAACGGGGACUAGCCCUUAAGUGGCUUUGAGAUUAGCGGAACGCUCUGGAAAGUGCGGCCAUAGUGGGUGAUAGCCCUGUACGCG